CCCAAACGAGCAAAGGAGGCGAAACAAAACACUGGCGAGAUGGGCCUGAAAAUGGAGACGCCGAGGCGUGGGAGAGAUGGCGAGAGGGAUACAGAGCUUGGAUUUAAAUCACAGUAACACCACGGGAAGAUGAACGGCAGUGCUAUUGAAUGUGGCUAAAAUUGGAUCCUUCAGCACAGGGAAGGAAAUAAUCCAGCUGGAGGAAGCUCUGAGCAUGAAAUGGGAUGGCAUUUGAAGAGUGUUGCAGAGCAUGCAUCCUGCAGACACUGAAGGCAUAUCAACAGCAGCAGUGUGCAUCUUUCUAGUUCUACAGCGGCCAUUUCUGUCACCACCUCAGGGACGAGGAUGGUUACAAAUGAAACCUGCCACCUAUACACAACACAAACUGCAUGUCCAGUCUCUCUGGAGAAGCCAGAACUCCAUGCCUCGCAUGCCCAGCAUCCUUUGUAGGUCACAUGUUCCCAUGAACAGUACAGUGAGCCAGUCAAAGUCAUAGAGCACAAAUUAAAUUGACAAGCAAAACUAACAGAUCCACGGAGACAGUCUAAAAUAUUAUGGGUUUCACAAUCUGAAGCAGAAUGGAUAUUUUAAUGGAGAAGAUUAAAGUUAGAGGCACCAAAUUCUUCCAGUAACUGACAAAGCAUCCUGGAGUGAUGUGCCAAUUACUUUAUACGGUCCUCUCGUGUAUUCAUUUGUCUGAAUGCAUGUAUUUAUGUCUGUAAUAAGUAAGGGGAUGUUUGAAUAAAAUACUUUUCUAAAAAUAAAGUUGGCAAAAAUGGA